AUUGAACGCUGGCGGCAUGCCUUACACAUGCAAGUCGAACGGCAGCACGGAGCUUGCUCUGGUGGCGAGUGGCGAACGGGUGAGUAAUAUAUCGGAACGUACCCAAGAGUGGGGGAUAACGUAGCGAAAGUUACGCUAAUACCGCAUACGAUCUAAGGAUGAAAGCAGGGGAUCUUCGGACCUUGUGCUCCUGGAGCGGCCGAUAUCUGAUUAGCUGGUUGGUGGGGUAAAGGCCCACCAAGGCAACGAUCAGUAGCUGGUCUGAGAGGACGACGAGGGACACUGGAACUGGGCCACGGGCCAGACUCCUCAGGGGAGCAGCAGUGGGGGAUUUUGGACAAUGGGGGCAACCCGGAUCCAACAAUGCCGCGGGAGGGAAGAAGACCUUCGGGUUGUAAAGCUCUUUUGUCAAGGAAGAAAAGGUUCGGGCUAAUAUCCCGGGUUCAUGACGGUACCUGAAGAAUAAGCACCGGCUAACUACGUGCCAGCCGCCGCCGUAAUAC
rnacentral:rRNA from 1 species